CCUACGGGAGGCUGCAGUGGGGAAUAUUGGACAAUGGGGGCAACCCUGAUCCAGCCAUGCCGCGUGUGUGAAGAAGGCCCUCGGGUUGUAAAGCACUUUCAGUGAGGAAGAACGCCUGGUGGUUAAUACCCAUCAGGAAAGACAUCACUCACAGAAGAAGCACCGGCUAACUCCGUGCCAGCAGCCGCGGUAAUACGGAGGGUGCGAGCGUUAAUCGGAAUUACUGGGCGUAAAGCGCGCGUAGGUGGCUUGAUAAGCCGGUUGUGAAAGCCCCGGGCUCAACCUGGGAACGGCAUCCGGAACUGUCAAGCUAGAGUGCAGGAGAGGAAGGUAGAAUUCCCGGUGUAGCGGUGAAAUGCGUAGAGAGCGGGAGGAAUACCAGUGGCGAAGGCGGCCUUCUGGACUGACACUGACACUGAGGUGCGAAAGCGUGGGUAGCAAACAGGAUUAGAUACCCGGGUAGUC
rnacentral:rRNA from 1 species